UAAUGUUUCAGUUAAAAACUUUUGCUUUUGAAUGGAUUGUUAACUAAUAGUAUCUGUUGACAAUUUUAUAAAGACACAACAUAUAAAUAAGUUUAAAAAUCAGAUACUUCAUUGGUUUAUUCCUUGCAAAAGACUUGUUAGUAUUUUUCAAAUAUGAUAAAACUUAUUAACUUAUUAUCAUCUUUCAUUAUUUUUGGAUUGUAUACUUCUUUAUCUGUGGAUUAAUAUUUAAAUCACAGUACAAGCAUGCCUAAUGUUGACUUGUUGUUUAGAUCCGGCUAGACAUAGAGAGUUUUUGAGAUUCCAUAAGUAUAAAUCACGUAUUUCAUAUAUAACCACAACCAAUAUAACGUAAUUAAUCUAUAAACAAAGUGAAUAACCCAUUCUUAAUGUUAGCUUGUUGUUUAUUAAUAUAUUUUCUUUAUAUUUUCACUGUUAGUUUUCAUUAUGUUAAUAAAGUUUUCAUUAUGUUAAUAAAGUUGUUGCAUCUUCCACAGAACUUACUUACAGAUAGUUGCUUAUAGGGUUUUGUUGUUAUUUUUAGUUCAAUCUACCCAGCCUAUCACUGCAACAUCUUCAUCUGCAAUGAGUGCUCUAGUUCCAUCAUCAACUGCAUUGGGUGGUAAGCUUAAAAAUAUUUUUAUUGCAUGCUUCAAAAAACCUGUUCAUAUAAGUAUGUAUUUCAGAUCAAUUGCAAUAUUUAUUUUUUAUUACACUUUUUAUAACUUAGUU